rfam:Schistosoma mansoni strain Puerto Rico chromosome W, complete genome
AUCCAGAUGACGAGUCCCAAAUAGAACGAAACGCGCGUCAAACUGGAU